rnacentral:rRNA from 1 species
UAGAGUUUGAUCAUGGCUCAGGACGAACGCUGGCGGCGUGCCUAAUACAUGCAAGUCGAACGCUUCUUUCCUCCCGAGUGCUUGCACUCAAUUGGAAAGAGGAGUGGCGAACGGGUGAGUAACACGUGGGUAACCUACCCAUCAGAGGGGGAUAACACUUGGAAACAGGUGCUAAUACCGCAUAACAGUUUAUGCCGCAUGGCAUAAGAGUGAAAGGCGCCUUCGGGUGUCGCUGAUGGAUGGACCCGCGGUGCAUUAGCUAGUUGGUGAGGUAACGGCUCACCAAGGCCACGAUGCAUAGCCGACCUGAGAGGGUGAUCGGCCACACUGGGACUGAGACACGGCCCAGACUCCUACGGGAGGCAGCAGUAGGGAAUCUUCGGCAAUGGACGAAAGUCUGACCGAGCAACGCCGCGUGAGUGAAGAAGGUUUUCGGAUCGUAAAACUCUGUUGUUAGAGAAGAACAAGGACGUUAGUAACUGAACGUCCCCUGACGGUAUCUAACCGGAAAGCCACGGCUAACUACGUGCCAGCAGCCGCGGUAAUACGUAGGUGGCAAGCGUUGUCCGGAUUUAUUGGGCGUAAAGCGAGCGCAGGCGGUUUCUUAAGUCUGAUGUGAAAGCCCCCGGCUCAACCGGGGAGGGUCAUUGGAAACUGGGAGACUUGAGUGCAGAAGAGGAGAGUGGAAUUCCAUGUGUAGCGGUGAAAUCCGUAGACUAUAUCGGAGGAACACCAGCUGGNGAACGCGGCUCUC